UACGUAGGGCGCAAGCGUUGUCCGGAAUUAUUGGGCGUAAAGAGCUCGUAGGCGGCCUGUUGCGUCCGCUGUGAAAUCCCGUGGCUCAACUGCGGGUCUGCAUUCGAUACGGGGCAGGCUAGAGUUCGGUAGGGGAGACUGGAAUCCUGGUGUGCGGUGAAAUGCGCAGAUAUCAGGAAGAACACCCGUGGCGAAGGCGGCUCUCUGGGACGGUACUGACGCUGAGACGCGAAAGCGUGGGGAGCGAACAGG
rnacentral:rRNA from 1 species